rnacentral:rRNA from 1 species
CAGCCGCCGGGUAAUACGUAGGGUGCGAGCGUUAAUCGGAAUUACUGGGCGUAAAGCGUGCGCAGGCGGUUUUGUAAGACAGGCGUGAAAUCCCCGGGCUCAACCUGGGAAUGGCGCUUGUGACUGCAAAGCUAGAGUGCGGCAGAGGGGGAUGGAAUUCCGCGUGUAGCAGUGAAAUGCGUAGAUAUGCGGAGGAACACCGAUGGCGAAGGCAAUCCCCUGGGCCUGCACUGACGCUCAUGCACGAAAGCGUGGGGAGCAAACAGGAUUAGAUACCCCUGUAGUCCCUGUCUCUUAUACC